UCUGCAUUGUUCUUUCAGUAUUUUAGGAUAGUAACAAUGAAAAUUACUAAUUUAAAGCGGUGAUGUGUUGGGGAAAUAUCUACAUAGGUUCGGAUGCUUUGAAUCUCGGUUGCCAACUCAUUUGUUGUGUGCUGCUUUUGGUUAUCACAGUAGUUGUGCUGAUUUUCCUGUUAGCAACUGAUACUAUAUAAUUGAAGCGACAAUGGACAAGGUAACACUUCACACGGGCGACGUGAAAAGGAAAUCGCCGAUCAAAAAUUCUGUUUGUUCGCAAUGCGGGGUCGUCACUGGAAUAUAUUAUCUAGGGGAUGUUUGUGAAAUCGUGCAAAAUGUUGUCAUAACGUUCUACUGCCGAGUUGGAUUAUUAAAAUUAAU